UCAACUAUGAUUUUUUCUUAGACCUCCACCUUUAUGGUGCCAAAUUCAACAUAGUCAUCUAGAUUCCGUGAAAUGUGCUCUAGUUUGUACUAUUUUUGUGUAAAAAAUACAGUUUCCGAUGCACCACAAACUGAUAUAUACAAGCUAAAAAUCACAUAUUAUGAUCAUCUUGCUUCAUAAUGUAGAGUUUGAAUGGGAUAAAACGGGUACAAAAGUGAUAAUAUUCCAUAUAAUCUCGAAGAUUCCACUAAAUUUGAUGAGUUGAGGGGGUGGUUGUAAUUAUCCAAAC
rnacentral:lncRNA from 1 species